AACACUCCGCCUGGGGAGUACGCCCGCAAGGGUGAACUCAAAGGAAUUGACGGGGGCCCGCACAAGCGGUGGAGCAUGUGGUUUAAUUUGAAGCAACGCGAAGAACCUUACCAGGUCUUGACAUCCUUUGACCACUCUAGAGAUAGAGCUUCCCCUUCGGGGGCAAAGUGACAGGUGGUGCAUGGUUGUCGUCAGCUCGUGUCGUGAGAUGUUGGGUUAAGUCCCGCAACGAGCGCAACCCUUAUUGUUAGUUGCCAUCAUUCAGUUGGGCACUCUAGCAAGACUGCCGGUGACAAACCGGAGGAAGGUGGGGAUGACGUCAAAUCAUCAUGCCCCUUAUGACCUGGGGUACACACGUGCUACAAUGGGAAGUACAACGAGUCGCGAAGUCGCGAGGCUAAGCUAAUCUCUUAAAGCUUCUCUCAGUUCGGAUUGUAGGCUGCAACUCGCCUACAUGAAGCCGGAAUCGCUAGUAAUCGCGGAUCAGCACGCCGCGGUGAAUACGUUCCCGGGCCUUGUACACACCGCCCGUCACACCACGAGAGUUUGUAACACCCGAAGUCGGUGAGGUAACCUUUUGGAGCCAGCCGCCUAAGGUGGGAUAGAUGAUUGGGGUGAAGUCGUAACAAGAGCUAGG
rnacentral:rRNA from 1 species